GAUGAACGCUGGCGGCGUGCCUAAUACAUGCAAGUCGAGCGAACAGACGAGGAGCUUGCUCCUCUGACGUUAGCGGCGGACGGGUGAGUAACACGUGGAUAACCUACCUAUCAGACUGGGAUAACUUCGGGAAACCGGAGCUAAUACCGGCUAAUCUAUUUCACCGCAUGGUUCACUAGUUAACGACGGUUUUGCUGUCACUUAUCGCUGGAUCCGCUCCGCAUUAGCUAGUUGGUAAGGUAACGGCUUACCAAGGCAACGAUGCGUAGCCGACCUGAGAGGGUGAUCGGCCAAACUGGAACUGAGACAAGGUCCAGACUCCUACGGGAGGCAGCAGUAGGGAAGCUGCCGAAAUGGGAGAAAGCAGGACGGAGCAACGCCGCGUGAGGGAUGAAGGUAUUCGGAUCGUAAAACUCUGUUAUUAGGGAAGAACAAAUGUGUAAGUAACUAUGCACGUCUUGACGGUACCUAAGCAGAAAGCCACGGCUAACUACGUG
rnacentral:rRNA from 1 species